rnacentral:rRNA from 1 species
UACGUAGGUGACCAGCGUUGUCCGGAUUUACUGGGCGUAAAGAGCGCGCAGGCGGUCGAUCAAGUCGAGUGUGAAAGCCCCCGGCUCAACUGGGGAGGGUCAUUCGAUACUGAUCGACUCGAAGGCAGGAGAGGGUAGUGGAAUUCCCGGUGUAGUGGUGAAAUGCGUAGAUAUCGGGAGGAACACCAGUGGCGAAGGCGACUACCUGGCCUGUUCUUGACGCUGAGGCGCGAAAGCUAGGGGAGCAAACGGG